UAAACUGAUUUCUUACCUUCUUACCUUCCACUAGCAGGCAGAAGGUGCUAGAGUCUGGUGCAAGGUAGAGUACCAGGGGCAGCUGAAGAGAGAGAGCCAAAGGCUACAGAAACAGUGAGUAUUGUGUGAGAAGCAAAGGUAGUUCUAGGACAUAUUAGGAAAAGAAUGGCCCAUGAGAUGGAGAAUGGGAGACUACGCUGAACUUGGAACAAAACUAAAGAAUUCAGUGCAGUGGAAGGGAUAACAAAUGAGAUCUAAAAGAAAUAAGAUGAUUAUUGGUAUAAUGAAUCAUUAUAAAGAGAUUGCAAAUUGCAGAUGCAAUCACACCUAGGAGAGCAGAAAAAGUUGGUAGAAUCUAAAUAUAGUUAUGAAAUGGGUGCAAAAUGUUAUCGGAUUUAAAAUACCAAGCCAAAAAAAAAUAAAUGCCAUCAUACAGAAUAUGUGAGAGAGUAUGUUGGUACCAUUGUAGUAUGCAAACAUAUUAAAGUCCUGCUGUUAUGAUACAUAGCCUCCUUAACAGUUGAACAUAUUUGUGUCCCUUUUAAAUACUAGAUGGGAUGCUGAGGGUAUUGUGGCUGUGCUAAAUCCUAAAGGAAACACUGCGGAUACAGUGGACAGUGUGUUUGUGAGUCAAGUAGAUCUGGCCAAGGCCGUGGAGCACAAAUACUCUGCACUGCGUGAGAUGCUGUACAUGGACAUGCUGCAGGCUCACUACGGAGCCCUGGGCUGGGCAUCUCUUCGUCAGGAGCAGAAAGAUCAGAGUCUUCAGGAGCUCAGGAUGCUGGCAGAAUUUGGCUUAGAGAGAUGCAGUGAGCUGGUAUUAUCACAGCUGCCAGGGGCCACUCAUAUCUUUGGGUAAGUGAUGAGGAUUAUUGCAGAUUGUAGCCAUUGAAUUCUACAUAAAAAAUAUAUAGCAUAAAAAACAUUAAACUUCAUGCCUAUGUAAAAUAUAAUCCUGCACAGCUGACAAUAUUCUAUUUGUAACUCAGGGAUGUGAUUGGUAGUUCUGGCAAUGAACAAAUAUCAGAUAAUAGACCCCAGGCCCACACAGCUAUCCAGGGGUUGAAAGAACUGCACAGAAGGCUUGAGGAGGAGAAAAGAACUCAGAUCAGUUCAAAAAGUGAAAGCGACACUAUAUCCCAGUCAUAUCAGUAUUUUAUGUUGUGUGCUCAGACAAAAAAAGCAACGAUGGAAUACAACUUCAGAGCGGCUGUGCUUGUGGUGGAGCCAUACUGGUCAACAAGGUAUGUGUAGUAUAGUAAAAUCUUUAUAAGAAUAGUAUGCUUAGAUUGUGCUUGGGUAUUCCUUGUAUAUUAUAAAGCAAAACCUUAUUGUGUCAUUUAUGAAAAAGUUAAUAUUUAAUCUAAAAUUCUCCUCAGAUUUGUAUGGUUGUUUCUAGGUCUGAAUUGAGAAUUAAAAUAGGCCCUGGCAUUUCAGGUACACAGA